AAGAUGUUAUAGAUGGAUGUUAAUCUUAGGCAUAUGAAAAAGCCGUUAAGAAAAAGGAAACCAAAAUGUUCUAUUUAGGAAUUUCUCUAAUAAAGAAAAUUUCGAAAAAAUGAAUUUUAGACAUACAUUUCGUUUUUGCUUAAAGAGUAUAAAACUUUCUUUCUGGAAUUGAAUCACUCAGUUGCAGCUGUCUUGAAUUUGCAUUUGCUGAAAUUUAAGAACAAUGAACCUUUCCUCCGCAACUUUCAUAUGUAAAGCUUUAAUCUGUAUUUAACAAAAAAUUUUAAUUGAA